rnacentral:rRNA from 1 species
CAGCAGCCGCGGGAAUACGAAGGGGGCUAGCGUUGCUCGGAAUCACUGGGCGUAAAGGGUGCGUAGGCGGGUUUUUAAGUCAGAGGUGAAAUCCUGGAGCUCAACUCCAGAACUGCCUUUGAUACUGAAAGUCUUGAGUAUGGGAGAGGUGAGUGGAACUGCGAGUGUAGAGGUGAAAUUCGUAGAUAUUCGCAAGAACACCAGUGGCGAAGGCGGCUCACUGGCCCAUAACUGACGCUGAGGCACGAAAGCGUGGGGAGCAAACAGGAUUAGAUACCCGUGUAGUCCCUGUCUCUUAAAA